rnacentral:rRNA from 1 species
CAAUAGCGUAUAUUAAAGUUGUUGCAGUUAAAAAGCUCGUGGUUGGAUUUCUGGUUGAAGCGACCGGUCGGGCGUUGAUUCGUCUGCACUGGAGUCGGUUUUGGCCAUCCUCUAGGAAAGUGCGUCUGGUAUUAAGUUAUCGGGCGUAUGAUCCUGGUCUUUUACUGUGAAAAAAUUAGAGUGUUUAAAGCAGGCCUUCGCCUUGAAUACAUUAGCAUGGAAUAAUAAGAUAGGACUUUGGUCUAUUUUGUUGGUUUGCAGACCGAAGUAAUGAUUAAUAGGGAUAGUUGGGGGUAUUUAUAUUCCGAUGUCAGAGGUGAAAUUCUUAGAUUUUCGGAAGAUAAACUUAUGCGAAAGCAUUUACCAAGGAUGUUUUCAUUAA